GACGAACGCUGGCGGCGUGCCUAAUACAUGCAAGUAGAACGCUGAAGGAGGAGCUUGCUUCUCUGGAUGAGUUGCGAACGGGUGAGUAACGCGUAGGUAACCUGCCUGGUAGCGGGGGAUAACUAUUGGAAACGAUAGCUAAUACCGCAUAAGAGUAGAUGUUGCAUGACAUUUGCUUAAAAGGUGCAAUUGCAUCACUACCAGAUGGACCUGCGUUGUAUUAGCUAGUUGGUGGGGUAACGGCUUACCAAGGCGACGAUACAUAGCCGACCUGAGAGGGUGAUCGGCCACACUGGGACUGAGACACGUCCCAGACUCCUACGGGAGGCAGCAGUAGGGAAUCUUCGGCAAUGGACGGAAGUCUGACCGAGCAACGCCGCGUGAGUGAAGAAGGUUUUCGGAUCGUAAAGCUCUGUUGUAAGAGAAGAACGAGUGUGAGAGUGGAAAGUUCACACUGUGACGGUAUCUUACCAGAAAGGGACGGCUAACUACGUG
rnacentral:rRNA from 1 species